rnacentral:lncRNA from 1 species
UGGAUUCUUUGCUCACUCAGCCUGCUCAGCCCAUGUCAUUUUGCCCAAAGUCAGCUAACCCGGUAUCUCCACCAGCCACACCCACAACACCUCCAGCACCUGUCACACCGUCAACACCUCCGGCACCUGUCACACCGUCAACACCUCCGGCACCUGUCACACGGCCGAUAUCUCCUCCGCCUUUCAGGCUUCCACCAAUGCCACGAUUCCCACCUUUGCCACCAUU